rnacentral:rRNA from 1 species
GAUGAACGCUGGCGGCGUGCCUAAUACAUGCAAGUCGAGCGAACUGAUUAGAAGCUUGCUUCUAUGACGUUAGCGGCGGACGGGUGAGUAACACGUGGGCAACCUGCCUGUAAGACUGGGAUAACUUCGGGAAACCGAAGCUAAUACCGGAUAGGAUCUUCUCCUUCAUGGGAGAUGAUUGAAAGAUGGUUUCGGCUAUCACUUACAGAUGGGCCCGCGGUGCAUUAGCUAGUUGGUGAGGUAACGGCUCACCAAGGCAACGAUGCAUAGCCGACAUGAGAGGGUGAUCGGCCACACUGGGACUGAGACACGGCCCAGACUCCUACGGGAGGCAGCAGUAGGGAAUCUUCCGCAAUGGACGAAAGUCUGACGGAGCAACGCCGCGUGAGUGAUGAAGGCUUUCGGGUCGUAAAACUCUGUUGUUAGGGAAGAACAAGUACGAGAGUAACUGCUCGUGCCUUGACGGUACCUAACCAGAAAGCCACGGCUAACUACGUGCCAGCCGCCGCAGUAA